CGGUUGAUCCUGCCGGAGGCCACUGCUAUGGGGGUCCGACUAAGCCAUGCGAGUCAUGGGGCGCCUUGCGCGCACCGGCGGACGGCUCAGUAACACGUCGGUAACCUACCCUCGGGAGGGGGAUAACCCCGGGAAACUGGGGCUAAUCCCCCAUAGGCCUGAGGUACUGGAAGGUCCUCAGGCCGAAAGGGGCUCUGCCCGCCCGAGGAUGGGCCGGCGGCCGAUUAGGUAGUUGGUGGGGUAACGGCCCACCAAGCCGAAGAUCGGUACGGGCCAUGAGAGUGGGAGCCCGGAGAUGGACACUGAGACACGGGUCCAGGCCCUACGGGGCGCAGCAGGCGCGAAACCUCCGCAAUGCGGGAAACCGCGACGGGGGGACCCCCAGUGCCGUGGCAUCGCCACGGCUUUUCCGGAGUGUAAAGAGCUCCGGGAAUAAGGGCUGGGCAAGGCCGGUGGCAGCCGCCGCGGUAAUACCGGCGGCCCGAGUGGUGGCCGCUAUUAUUGGGCCUAAAGCGUCCGUAGCCGGGCCCGUAAGUCCCUGGCGAAAUCCCACGGCUCAACCGUGGGGCUUGCUGGGGAUACUGCGGGCCUUGGGACCGGGAGAGGCGGAGGGUACUCCUGGGGUAGGGGUGAAAU
rnacentral:rRNA from 1 species